rnacentral:lncRNA from 1 species
AAGUCAGUCAAAUAUUGACAAAAACCCAGUCAGUACCAGCCGGUUUGUUGCUAUUUUAAGGUGCCUAAACAGGCUCAACAUGGAGGGCGACGGCGUCCAAUUGGAGUUCCUCUGGGGGUGUGAGACGCCGCCAUGGCGGUGCUGAUGCGGCGUCUGCUCAUCGAUGCUCAGGCAAAGCUUCGCAGAAUGGUAGAAGAACAUUCCUCCUCCUUAGCCGCCCGGAUAGAAUCCGAUUACCCCAGUCCGGCCCCCGUUCCCUUUUCCAGCCCCGCUUGCGCCGCUCAGGAGGCGAAAAU